AACCGGAUUAGAUACCCUGGUAGUCCAUGCCGUAAACGAUGAGUGCUAAGUGUUGGAGGGUUUCCGCCCUUCAGUGCUGCAGCUAACGCAUUAAGCACUCCGCCUGGGGAGUACGACCGCAAGGUUGAAACUCAAAGGAAUUGACGGGGGCCCGCACAAGCGGUGGAGCAUGUGGUUUAAUUCGAUGCUACGCGAAGAACCUUACCAGGUCUUGACAUCUUCUGCCAACCUAAGAGAUUAGGCGUUCCCUUCGGGGACAGGAUGACAGGUGGUGCAUGGUUGUCGUCAGCUCGUGUCGUGAGAUGUUGGGUUAAGUCCCGCAACGAGCGCAACCCUUAUUGUUAGUUGCCAGCAUUCAGUUGGGUACUCUAGCAAGACUGCCGGUGACAAACCGGAGGAAGGUGGGGAUGACGUCAAAUCAUCAUGCCCCUUAUGACCUGGGCUACACACGUGCUACAAUGGACGGUACAACGAGUCGCGAAACCGCGAGGUCAAGCUAAUCUCUUAAAGCCGUUCUCAGUUCGGAUUGUAGGCUGCAACUCGCCUACAUGAAGUUGGAAUCGCUAGUAAUCGUGGAUCAGCAUGCCACGGUGAAUACGUUCCCGGGCCUUGUACACACCGCCCGUCACACCAUGAGAGUUUGUAACACCCAAAGCCGGUGAGGUAACCUUCGGGGACCAGCCGUCUAAGGUGGGACAGAUGAUUAGGGUGAAGUCGUAACAAGGUAACC
rnacentral:rRNA from 1 species